rnacentral:rRNA from 1 species
GCGAUGAAGGCCUUCGGGUUGUAAAGCACUUUUGGCAGGAAAGAAACGUCGNGGGUUAAUACGGCGCGGAACUGACGGUACCUGCAGAAUAAGCACCGGCUAACUACGUGCCAGCAGCCGCGGUAAUACGUAGGGUGCAAGCGUAAAUCGGAAUUACUGGGCGUAAAGCGUGCGCAGGCGGUUCGGAAAGAAAGAUGUGAUAUCCCAGAGCUUAACUUUGGAACUGCAUAAUUAACUACCGGGCUAGAGUGUGUCAGAGGGAGGUGGAAUUCCGCGUGUAGCAGUGAAAUGCGUAGAUAUGCGGAGGAACACCGAUGGCGAAGGCAGCCUCCUGGGAUAACACUGACGCUCAUGCACGAAAGCGUGGGGAGCAAACAGGAUUAGAUACCCUGGUAGUCCACGGCCUAAACGAUGUCAACUAGCUGUUGGGGCCUUCGGGCCUUGGUAGCGCAGCUAACGCGUGAAGUUGACCGCGUGGGGAGUACGGUCGCAAGAUUAUUACUCAAAGGAAUUGACGGGGACCCGCACAAGCGGUGGAUGAUGUGGAUUAAUUCGAUGCAACGCGAAUAACCUUACCUACCCUUGACA